rnacentral:rRNA from 1 species
UACGAAGGGGGCUAGCGUUGUCCGGAAUCACUGGGCGUAAAGGGUGCGUAGGCGGGUCUUUAAGUCAGGGGUGAAAUCCUGGAAGCUCGAACUCCAGCAACUGCCUUUGAUACUGAGGAUCUUGAGUUCGGGAGAGGUGGAGUGGAACUGCGAGUGUAGAGGGUGAAAAUUUCGUAGAUAUUCGCAAGAACACCAGUGGCGAAGGCG